GGUCGAGUUUUUGUGGAGCAGAUUUGAAGCAGUGAAUGGGAAAAAGAACAAGCAUGUGCUGAGAGGAGAAGAAAUCUCACUUGUAGCAUAGUUAAACCCUGCCUUCUAAUAGAAUCUCAAGAUGUCCAAUGUUAAAGAAAGCAGUACCAUUCUUCAUGGUGGUAUGAGGGAUAAGAUGCAUAUUUGAAUUAUCCUAUACAAGCACAAGAACAAAUAUAUGCUGCUAUAUACUUGAUUGGUAAUGUACUAUUUUCUCUCACUGGUCAAAGUUAAUGAUUAUUGGUUACUAUUCUUUUUUUUUCUUUUCUUUUUUUGAGUUGUUGUUGUUGUUGUGAGUACUGACAAUUGAAGAACAUCAAUUUGAUUUCUCUUAUUUUUCUUUCCAACCCGUGCUUUUGUAAGCUAAGCAUUCACUUGAUACAUUUGCUGAUUUGAUCUUUAAUUUUCUUUGAUUCUUUCUAGAGUAUAUUCUUUUUGUGGAAAAUAUUAUGUAUCAUAAUUGUAAUUGAAUUAGGAUUACAGAAUAUUUCUUUAGAAGAUUACAUAGAUUACUUCCCUUAUUAGAAUUCCUAGAUUGUAGCAGUAGCAAUAUAUGAGUCUAGCACGUUUAGACCUCUGUGCCUUUAAAUUAUUGGAGAUGUUCAAAGGAAGGAGAAAGUAAAAUCUAUGAUACGACAAGUGGAGUGCGAUCUUGUUGUCAUGAAAAUAAUAUUAGAGAAAGAAGGAGGAUUCUGCACUGGAAGUGCUAGAGUUACUGAUCACCAGGUAUGGUCAUUAUAUUCUGUGAAACUGAUAUGGUUAUUGAUGUGUGUAUCAAUAGAAUGGAAUUCUAACAAGAAUUUUUUUGUCUUAUUGUAAUAAUGGUUAUGUCUUUGCCUGGAUAUAAUAUAUUAUGUCCAAAAGAAUAAGUUUUGGGGUGUUGUCUGUGGCAGCGAUUAAGCAGUUCUGGGUACGUCUUUUCUACUUCUUUGCCCCCAUAUCUUGUGAGUGCUGCC